UACGUAGGGGCGAGCGUUGUCCGGAAUUAUUGGGCGUAAAGAGCGUGUAGGCGGUUCGGUAAGUCUGCCGUGAAAACCUGGGGCUCAACCCUGGGCGUGCGGUGGAUACUGCCGGGCUAGAGGGUGGUAGAGGCGAGUGGAAUUCCCGGUGUAGCGGUGAAAUGCGCAGAUAUUAGGAAGAACACCGGUGGCGAAGGCGGCUCUCUGGAACGGUACUGACGCUGAGACGCGAAAGCGUGGGGGAGCGAACAGG
rnacentral:rRNA from 1 species